rnacentral:rRNA from 1 species
GGGUGAGUAACACGUGGGUGAUCUGCCCUGCACUUCGGGAUAAGCCUGGGAAACUGGGUCUAAUACCGGAUAGGAGCCAUUUUUAGUGUGAUGGUUGGAAAGUUUUUUCGGUGUAGGAUGAGCUCGCGGCCUAUCAGCUUGUUGGUGGGGUAAUGGCCUACCAAGGCGGCGACGGAUAGCCGGCCUGAGAGGGUGGACGGCCACAUUGGGACUGAGAUACGGCCCAG